UACGGAGGGAGCUAGCGUUAUUCGGAAUUACUGGGCGUAAAGCGCACGUAGGCGGCUUUGUAAGUAAGAGGUGAAAGCCCAGAGCUCAACUCUGGAAUUGCCUUUAGACUGCAUCGCUUGAAUCAUGGAGAGGUCAGUGGAAUUCCGAGUGUAGAGGUGAAAUUCGUAGAUAUUCGGAAGAACACCAGUGGCGAAGGCGGCUGACUGGACAUGUAUUGACGCUGAGGUGCGAAGCGUGGGAGCGAAACGGGA
rnacentral:rRNA from 1 species